AUUGAACGCUGGCGGCAUGCUUUACACAUGCAAGUCGAACGGUAACAGGCCGCAAGGUGCUGACGAGUGGCGAACGGGUGAGUAAUGCAUCGGAACGUGCCCAGUCGUGGGGGAUAACUGCUCGAAAGAGCAGCUAAUACCGCAUACGAUCUAUGGAUGAAAGCGGGGGACCGUAAGGCCUCGCGCGAUUGGAGCGGCCGAUGUCAGAUUAGGUAGUUGGUGGGGUAAAGGCUCACCAAGCCAACGAUCUGUAGCUGGUCUGAGAGGACGACCAGCCACACUGGGACUGGAACACGGCCCAGACUCCUACGGGAGGCAGCAGUGGGGAAUUUUGGACAAUGGGGGCAACCCUGAUUCAGCAAUGCCGAGUGCAGGAAGAAGGCCUUCGGGUUGUAAACUGCUUUUGUACGGAACGAAACGGUCUGGGUUAAUACCCUGGGCUAAUGACGGUACCGUAAGAAUAAGCACCGGCUAACUACGUGCCAGCAGCCGCCGUAACAC
rnacentral:rRNA from 1 species